UAAUACGGUUUAUCUCAUUUAUAAGAUAAACCAAUUUAAUGAAAGAGAAAUGAUUACUGCGUCAUUCGGAUCCGGUUCUCGUUUCCCGAUAAUCAACGUCACAUGACUCUUCAGCAUUACAUUGAACUAGCCACUCUAUUAGAUAUGUAAAAGUUUCAAAAAUGCAAUCGUAAAAAAUCAUUGACAUCCGCAUGUCAUAUUACAAUAUUUUGGUAUGAAACUAUCGAAGAGACAAGGUAAUUCUCCAAGAAAGGAUUUUCAUUUGCAAGGGCCAGCAAAUGACGAAAUUAAAAGGUAAACCGAACUGUCACCAUACGAUCCGAUGCCAUCAACACGAGGAACACCUCCAGUUUCUUUCGACAUGUAUGGAUGUGUAAAGAUCAUAGAACAAUUUAAUUAAUGUAUCUUCACCAUAAAAAUUAUACAAUGCACCAAUGACAGGGACAGCUUCCAAUUUGUCAGUGGCUCAUGGACCGGUGAUCAAUUUAAUGGCUUCACACCAGGAGCCCCCAUUUAUAAUUCCACACGGCACAACAUGCACAAGGAAAACACGAUUCAAAAGAAUAGGAGAACCACUGAUCCAAAGAAUUCAUAACCUGGUUCCAGCGGUUUGCAGAUUUCGUCAAACAUUAAUCUUGAAUGACCAGAAUAGGCCGGAUCUAUAACAUUUUG